UACCAGCACCCCGAGUGGUCGGGACGUUUUAUUGGGCCUAAAGCAUCCGUAGCCGGUUCUACAAGUCUUCCGUUAAAUCCAACUGCUUAACAGGUGGGCUGCGGAAGAUACUAUAGAGCUAGGAGGCGGGAGAGGCAAGCGGUACUCGAUGGGUAGGGGUAAAAUCCGUUGAUCCAUUGAAGACCACCAGUGGCGAAGGCGGCUUGCCAGAACGUGCUCGACGGUGAGGGAUGAAAGCUGGGGGAGCAAACCGGG
rnacentral:rRNA from 1 species